UAUUUUUACUGUUGCUUAUCAGAUUAUAGGUUAGCUAUGCCUAUAUCUGAUGGUGUAGCGGAAACGAGA
rnacentral:pre_miRNA from 1 species